rnacentral:rRNA from 1 species
UACGUAGGGAGCGAGCGUUAUCCGGAUUUAUUGGGUGUAAAGGGCGCGUAGACGGUAUAGCAAGUUGGUUGUGAAAUCCCGAGGCCUGACUUCGGAACUGCAACCAAAACUGUUUAACUUGAGUGUGGGAGAGGAAAGCGGAAUUUCUAGUGGAGCGGUGAAAUGCGUAGAUAUUAGGAGGAACACCAGUGGCGAAGGCGGCUUUCUGGACCAUAACUGACGUUGAGGCGCGAAAGUGUGGGGAGCAAAC